rnacentral:rRNA from 1 species
UUUUAGUUUAUUAUUAAUUUUAAAGUUGAAUUUUUAAUUUAAAAAAAGAAAUUUGGGUUUUAGUUUUUAAUUUUAAAAAAUUUUUUUAAUUAUAGAUUAUUAGUAUUGAUAAAGAAUUAUUUUAAAAAUAAAUAAGAAGAAUAUAAUUUUGUACCUUGUGUAUCAGGGUUUAUUAAAUAUAAUUAAGAUUUAUUUAUUCUCGAAUUUAAAAGAUUUAAUUUUAUAUAAAUUUUAAUGUUAAAUAAUUAUUUAAAAUGUAAAUUUAGAAAUGAAAUGUUAAUCGUUUUUAGUAUAUCUAGUUAUUUAAGAAAAGAAUUUAAUUUAAUUUUUAAUUAAUAUAUUUAAAUUUAUUUUUUAUUUAUUAUUAGAAAUAAAUUUUUUAGGGGAUAAGCUUUGAAAAAUAAGUUUAUAAAUAAAAUUAAUUAUUAUGAAAAAUAUAUUAUUAGAAGUUUAAAUUUUUAAAAAAAUGUUAUAUUUAAUUUUUAAGUGAAUUAACUUUUAUAUUAUUUUAGUUUUUAUAUUAAAUAAAAUUAUUUAAUAAUAAAAUUUUUGUUAUAAUGUUAAAAUUAGUAGUUUUAAUAUGUCAUAAAUUUAAUUUUUUGUAAGGUUUAAUAAAGGAACUCGGCAAAUUAUUUUUCACCUGUUUAUUAAAAACAUGGCUUAUUGAUUUUAAUUUUAGGUCUAGCCUGCCCCCUGAUAUAUUAAAGGGCCGCAGUAUUUUGACUGUGCUAAGGUAGCAUAAUCAUUAGUUUCUUAAUUAGAAGCUGGAAUGAAUGGUUGGAUGAAAAAAUAACUUUCUAUAUUUAAUUUAUCAUGAAAUUUAUUUUUAAAUUAUAAAGUUUAAAUAGUAUUAAAAGACGAGAAGACCCUAUAGAGUUUUAUAAAUUAUUUAAUUUAAUUUUUUUAGUUAAUUAUAAUAUUUAUUUUAAAAAUUUAUUUUAUUGGGGUGAUAUAAAAAUUAUAUAAACUUUUUAUAAUUUAUUACAUUGAUAUAUGAAUAGAUGAUCCAUGGUUAAUGAUUAAAAGAGAAAUUACCUUAGGGAUAACAGCGUAAUUUUUUUUGAGAGUUCUAAUCGAAAAAAAAGGUUGCGACCUCGAUGUUGGAUUAAAAUUACUUUUUGGUGUAGAAGCUAGGGAAAGUGGGUCUGUUCGACCUUUAAAAUUUUACAUGAUCUGAGUUUAGACCGGCGUGAGCCAGGUCGGUUUCUAUCUUUAAUAGGUUAAUAUAUUUUAGUACGAAAGGACCAAAUAUAAGAAAGAUUUUUUUAUAUUAGAAUAAAAAUAAUUAAA